ACAUGACCAAGCUGUGCAACCACAGGCGGAAAGCUGUUGCCAUGGCAACUCUGUACCGCAGCAUGGAGACCACCUGCUCACAUUCUUCUCCUGGAGAGGGAGCAAGCCCCCAAAUGUUCCACACUGUGUCCCCAGGGCCUGCCUCUGUCCGCCCUUCUUGUCGAGUUCCUCCUACAACUCCACUUAAUGGGGGUCCUGGCUCCAUUCCCCAAGAACCACCUUCAGUUCCCCAGGCCUUCCCUCCUCUAACAGGCCCUGCAGGGCUCUUCCCACCCCGGCUUCCUGAUCCAGUUCCUUCUGCAGGCAGCAGCAGCCCUUGUUUCCUUCCAAGAGGCAAUGCUCCCUCUCCAGCCCCACCUCCUCCAUCUGCGAUCAGCCUCAAUGCCCCUUCCUACAACUGGGGAGCUUCCCUCCGAUCCAACCUGGUGCCCUCUGACCUGGGCUCUCCUCCAGCCCCUCAUGCCUCCUCUUCACCACCUUCAGACUCUCCUCUCUUCCACUGUAGUGAUG
rnacentral:lncRNA from 1 species